rnacentral:rRNA from 1 species
GACGUAGGGGGCCAGCGUUGUUCGGAAUUACUGGGUGUAAAGGGUUCGUAGGCGGUGCGGCAAGUUGGGAGUGAAAUCUCUGGGCUUAACCCAGAGGCUGCUUCCAAAACUGCUGUGCUUGAGUGUGGGAGAGGCGCGUGGAAUUGCAGGUGUAGCGGUGAAAUGCGCAGAUAUCAGGAAGAACACCCGUGGCGAAGGCGGCUCUCUGGGACGGUACUGACGCUGAGACGCGAAAGCGUGGGGAGCGAACAGG